rnacentral:rRNA from 1 species
UUGAACGCUGGCGGCAUGCUUUACACAUGCAAGUCGAACGGCAGCGCGGGGCAACCUGGCGGCGAGUGGCGAACGGGUGAGUAAUAUAUCGGAACGUGCCCAAGAGUGGGGGAUAACGUAGCGAAAGUUACGCUAAUACCGCAUACGAUCUAUGGAUGAAAGCGGGGGAUUCGCAAGAACCUCGUGCUCCUGGAGCGGCCGAUAUCUGAUUAGCUAGUUGGUGGGGUAAAGGCUCACCAAGGCGACGAUCAGUAGCUGGUCUGAGAGGACGACCAGCCACACUGGAACUGAGACACGGUCCAGACUCCUACGGGAGGCAGCAGUGGGGAAUUUUGGACAAUGGGGGCAACCCUGAUCCAGCAAUGCCGCGUGAGUGAAGAAGGCCUUCGGGUUGUAAAGCUCUUUUGUCAGGGAAGAAAAGGGUACGGCGAAUAACCGUGCCUCAUGACGGUACCUGAAGAAUAAGCACCGGCUAACUACGU